AGAGUUUGAUCAUGGCUCAGAUUGAACGCUGGCGGCAGGCCUAACACAUGCAAGUCGAGCGGUAGCACAGAGAGCUUGCUCUCGGGUGACGAGCGGCGGACGGGUGAGUAAUGUCUGGGAAACUGCCUGAUGGAGGGGGAUAACUACUGGAAACGGUAGCUAAUACCGCAUAAUGUCGCAAGACCAAAGUGGGGGACCUUCGGGCCUCAUGCCAUCAGAUGUGCCCAGAUGGGAUUAGCUAGUAGGUGGGGUAAUGGCUCACCUAGGCGACGAUCCCUAGCUGGUCUGAGAGGAUGACCAGCCACACUGGAACUGAGACACGGUCCAGACUCCUACGGGAGGCAGCAGUGGGGAAUAUUGCACAAUGGGCGCAAGCCUGAUGCAGCCAUGCCGCGUGUGUGAAGAAGGCCUUCGGGUUGUAAAGCACUUUCAGCGGGGAGGAAGGCGAUAAGGUUAAUAACCUUGUCGAUUGACGUUACCCGCAGAAGAAGCACCGGCUAACUCCGUGCCAGCAGCCGCGGUAAUACGGAGGGUGCAAGCGUUAAUCGGAAUUACUGGGCGUAAAGCGCACGCAGGCGGUCUGUCAAGUCGGAUGUGAAAUCCCCGGGCUUAACCUGGGAACUGCAUUCGAAACUGGCAGGCUAGAGUCUUGUAGAGGGGGGUAGAAUUCCAGGUGUAGCGGUGAAAUGCGUAGAGAUCUGGAGGAAUACCGGUGGCGAAGGCGGCCCCCUGGACAAAGACUGACGCUCAGGUGCGAAAGCGUGGGGAGCAAACAGGAUUAGAUACCCUGGUAGUCCACGCCGUAAACGAUGUCGAUUUGGAGGUUGUGCCCUUGAGGCGUGGCUUCCGGAGCUAACGCGUUAAAUCGACCGCCUGGGGAGUACGGCCGCAAGGUUAAAACUCAAAUGAAUUGACGGGGGCCCGCACAAGCGGUGGAGCAUGUGGUUUAAUUCGAUGCAACGCGAAGAACCUUACCUGGUCUUGACAUCCACAGAACUUUCCAGAGAUGGAUUGGUGCCUUCGGGAACUGUGAGACAGGUGCUGCAUGGCUGUCGUCAGCUCGUGUUGUGAAAUGUUGGGUUAAGUCCCGCAACGAGCGCAACCCUUAUCCUUUGUUGCCAGCGGUUAGGCCGGGAACUCAAAGGAGACUGCCAGUGAUAAACUGGAGGAAGGUGGGGAUGACGUCAAGUCAUCAUGGCCCUUACGACCAGGGCUACACACGUGCUACAAUGGCAUAUACAAAGAGAAGCGACCUCGCGAGAGCAAGCGGACCUCAUAAAGUAUGUCGUAGUCCGGAUUGGAGUCUGCAACUCGACUCCAUGAAGUCGGAAUCGCUAGUAAUCGUAGAUCAGAAUGCUACGGUGAAUACGUUCCCGGGCCUUGUACACACCGCCCGUCACACCAUGGGAGUGGGUUGCAAAAGAAGUAGGUAGCUUAACCUUCGGGAGGGCGCUUACCACUUUGUGAUUCAUGACUGGGGUGAAGUCGUAACAAGGUAACCGUAGGGGAACCUGCGGUUG
rnacentral:rRNA from 1 species